UACGUAGGGUGCGAGCGUUGUUCGGAAUUACUGGGCGUAAAGAGCUUGUAGGUGGUUUGUCGCGUUGUUCGUGAAAUCUCACGGCUUAACUGUGAGCGUGCGGGCGAUACGGGCAGACUAGAGUACUGCAGGGGAGACUGGAAUUCCUGGUGUAGCGGUGGAAUGCGCAGAUAUCAGGAGGAACACCGGUGGCGAAGGCGGGUCCCUGGGCAGUAACUGACGCUGAGAAGCGAAAGCGUGGGGAGCGAACAGG
rnacentral:rRNA from 1 species